UGCAGUCGAACGGUAACNUUUCUAGCUUGCUAGAAGAUGACGAGUGGCGGACGGGUGAGUAAUGCUUGGGAACUUGCCUUUGCGAGGGGGAUAACAGUUGGAAACGACUGCUAAUACCGCAUAAUGUCUACGGACCAAACGGGGCUUAGGCUCCGGCGCAAAGAGAGGCCCAAGUGAGAUUAGCUAGUUGGUAAGGUAACGGCUCACCAAGGCGACGAUCUCUAGCUGUUCUGAGAGGAAGAUCAGCCACACUGGGACUGAGACACGGCCCAGACUCCUACGGGAGGCAGCAGUGGGGAAUAUUGCACAAUGGGGGAAACCCUGAUGCAGCCAUGCCGCGUGUGUGAAGAAGGCCUUCGGGUUGUAAAGCACUUUCAGUUGUGAGGAAAAGUUAGUAGUUAAUACCUGCUAGCCGUGACGUUAACAACAGAAGAAGCACCGGCUAGCUCCGUGCUAGCAGCCGCGGUAAUACGGAGGGUGCGAGCGUUAAUCGGAAUUACUGGGCGUAAAGCGCACGCAGGCGGUUUGUUAAGCUAGAUGUGAGAGCCCCGGGCUCAACCCGGGAUGGUCAUUUAGAACUGGCAGACUAGAGUCUUGGAGAGGGGAGUGGAAUUCCAGGUGUAGCGGUGAAAUGCGUAGAUAUCUGGAGGAACAUCAGUGGCGAAGGCGACUCCCUGGCCAAAGACUGACGCUCAUGUGCGAAAGUGUGGGUAGCGAACAGGAUUAGAUACCCUGGUAGUCCACACCGUAAACGCUGUCUACUAGCUGUGUGUGCCUUUAAGGCGUGCGUAGCGAAGCUAACGCGCUAAGUAGACCGCCUGGGGAGUACGGCCGCANGG
rnacentral:rRNA from 1 species